rnacentral:rRNA from 1 species
GACGAACGCUGGCGGCGUGCUUAACACAUGCAAGUCGAACGGAAAGGCCCUGCUUUUGUGGGGUGCUCGAGUGGCGAACGGGUGAGUAACACGUGAGUAACCUGCCCUUGACUUUGGGAUAACUUCAGGAAACUGGGGCUAAUACCGGAUAGGAGCUCCUGCUGCAUGGUGGGGGUUGGAAAGUCUCGGCGGUUGGGGAUGGACUCGCGGCUUAUCAGCUUGCUGGUGGGGUAGUGGCUUACCAAGGCUUUGCCGGGUCGCCGGCCUGAGAGGGUGACCGGCCACAUUGGGACUGAGAUACGGCCCAGACGGCUACGGGAGGCAGAAGUGGGGAAUAUUGCACAAUGGGCGGAAGCCUGAUGCAGCAACGCCGCGGGCGGGAUGACGGCCUUCUGGUUAUAAACCGCUUUCGCCUGUGACGAAGCGUGAGUGACGGUAAUGGGUAAAGAAGCACCGGCUAACUACGUG